rnacentral:rRNA from 1 species
AACGAACGCUGGCGGCAUGCCUAACACAUGCAAGUCGAACGAAGCCUUCGGGCUUAGUGGCGCACGGGUGCGUAACGCGUGGGAAUCUGCCCCUCGGUUCGGAAUAACACAGAGAAAUUUGUGCUAAUACCGGAUGAUGACGAAAGUCCAAAGAUUUAUCGCCGAGGGAGGAGCCCGCGUAGGAUUAGCUAGUUGGUGAGGUAAAGGCUCACCAAGGCGACGAUCCUUAGCUGGUCUGAGAGAAUGAUCAGCCACACUGGGACUGAGACACGGCCCAGACUCCUACGGGAGGCAGCAGUGGGGAAUAUUGGACAAUGGGCGAAAGCCUGAUCCAGCAAUGCCGCGUGGGUGAUGAAGGCCUUAGGGUUGUAAAGCUCUUUUACCAGGGAUGAUAAUGACAGUACCUGGAGAAUAAGCUCCGGCUAACUCCGUGCCAGCCGCCGCGGUAA